AAAUACAUUCUCACACACACACACAAUCAAUUCCCAACUAAACCUAAUUCACAUCUCCAAAACAUCUCAUUCAACUCUCUGUCUCCCUGUUGCUGCUCCUCACUUUGCCGAUCACCUCCGCCGUUACUAGUGUUGUCAAUCGCUGCCGUUGCCGCUAGUGUUGCCGAUCGUCGCCAUCACCACUUGCCCUACCGGUCACAGUCGAUUGUCUCCUCUUAGAUCGCCUCACCGCUCAUCGAUUUGCCAUGAACACAGGUGCCUAUUGAGUUCGAUAAAGAAUGUAUGACAAUUGCCAAAAAAGCAAUCCCCAAGACAGAAAAAGUUUAUGUUGUUUUUUCAGGUAAAGAUGUGGCAAUCCCGCUGAGUUGAGGGCGUAGGUAUAUUUUAUGAAGAGUAGAAUACUCUAUUUUUGUUGUGGAUUUAAAUGCUAGCCAAUGGUUGUUCAUGUAUGGGCCCGAGAGGCCAUUUUUGUAUGACCGGGCUUAAGCCUCGGAAAAUGUAAGCCCUUAGGGGCAUUUUAUUUCUUUUGGAUUUUAAUGCUCUAAAUGCUAUAGAUUCAUGUAUUUCUAAAUCAUUGAAUGUAUAAUUUGCAUGUGGAACUUUUGUAUAAA